rnacentral:rRNA from 1 species
CUGAGAAGAGUAGUGGGCGAAACGGGUGAGGUAACACUGGGGUAACCUGCCCAUAAGAGGGGGAUAACAUCCGGAAACGGGUGCUAAUACCGCAUAGUUUUCUUGAUCGCAUGAUCGGGAAAGGAAAGACGGCCUUUGUGCUGUCGCUUAUGGAUGGACCCGCGGCGUAUUAGUUAGUUGGUGAGGUAACGGCUCACCAAGACGAUGAUACGUAGCCGACCUGAGAGGGUGAUCGGCCACAUUGGGACUGAGACACGGCCCAAACUCCUACGGGAGGCAGCAGUAGGGAAUCUUCCGCAAUGGACGAAAGUCUGACGGAGCAACGCCGCGUGAGUGAAGAAAAGGUUUUCGGAUCGUAAAACUCUGUUGUCAGAGAAGAACAAGUUGGAGAGUAACUGCUCCAGCCUUGACGGUAUCUGACCAGAAAGCCACGGCUAACUACGUGCCAGCCGCCGC